UACGGAGGGUGCAAGCGUUAUCCGGAUUCACUGGGUUAAAGGGUGCGUAGGCGGGCAGGUAAGUCAGUGGUGAAAUCUCCGGGCUUAACCCGGAACUGCCGUUGAUACUAUCUGUCUUGAAUAUCGUGGAGGUAAGCGGAAUAUGUCAUGUAGCGGUGAAAUGCUUAGAUAUGACAUAGAACACCGAUUGCGAAGGCAGCUUACUACACGAUCAUUGACGCUGAGGCACGAAAGCGUGGGGAGCAAACAGG
rnacentral:rRNA from 1 species